rnacentral:hammerhead_ribozyme from 1 species
AUCCAGGUAACCAGUCCUAAAUAGGAGGAAACGUGCGUCCUGGAU